rfam:Bombyx mori DNA, contig: Bm_scaf15_contig11382, strain: p50T/Dazao, build 2, whole genome shotgun sequence.
UUAACUCAAAUUUGUACGGAGUUGGAUCAGCCUCUCUAGGUUUGCAACUAGGGACACUGAUCCAACUCCAUACAAAUUAGAGUUG